GGUGUAGUUUGGUGGGUUAGGUUUAGUUUUAGGUCUAGUUUAGUGGGUUAAGUCUACAUUUAGUUUUUAUGAUGGGUUAGGUCUAGUUCUAGGUCUAGUUUGUUGGGUUAGGUCUAGUUCUAGGUCUAUUUUGAUGGCUUAGGUCUAGUUUGGUGGCUUAGGUCUAGUUUGGUGGCUUAGGUCUAGUUCUAGGCAUAGUUUGAUGGCUUAUGUUUAGUUCUAGGUCUAGUUUGGUGGGUUAGGUCUACAUUUAGUUUUUUUUUGAUGGGUUAGGUCUAGUUCUAGGUCUAGUUUGUUGGGUUAGGUCUACAUUUAGUUUUUUUUUUUGAUGGGUUAGGUCUAGUUCUAGGUCUAGUUUGUUGGGUUAGGUCUAGUUCUAGGUCUAUUUUGAUGGCUUAGGUCUAGUUUGGUGGCUUAGGUCUAGUUCUAGGCAUAGUUUGAUGGCUUAAGUUUAGUUCUAGGUCUAGUUUGUUGGGUUAGGUCUACAUUUAUUUAUUUUUUUGAUGUGUUAGGUUCUAGGUCUAGUUUGA